rnacentral:lncRNA from 1 species
GGGAGAAGGGCGGUGACGGGCAGGGAGAAGGGCGGGGGACGGCGGCAAGCCCUUCUCAGCAUCGCUUGUGGUGGCCGCAGUGGGACCUGCAAGCGCUGGGCAGGCCGCCUCGAGGACCCAGAACUGGCCGAGUCGAGGUUGCCCCACGCUAAAGGGAGUGGGAAGGGCAAGCAGGGCAGCGGUAGGCGGCUUCUAGGGUUUUGGAGGCGGCGAAGGCGAGAUGGUGUCGGAGAGAGUGAAGGGGACGGUGAAGUGGUUCGACGCUACCGCGGCUAUGGAGGCGACUGCAGCAACGGCGGGGGAGGAGGCGGCCGUGUGUGCUACAUGUGUGGUGAGGGCCACAAGGCCAAGGACUGCUCCCAGGACGGCGACGACGGCAUGGGAGGUGUACAACGGACGAUGGCCUCAUCAGACAUGGCCUACCUCGACGGGCAGCGGCGGCAGCGGCGAGGUCAUUUCCUCUAG